CCUAUCACGUUGAUAAGGAAUAGUAGAAUGGUUUGAAUCAGUAGAGAGCAUAUGGUUGGUGGAAAUAUGUGGGCAAACAUUCGAACUCGCCUUAGAGUGUUAUUUUCUGAAUUUAUGUAGGAAAAUACGGUCGUUCCGUUAUCACGUGGAGCCUUUGUAAAAGGGAAAAUAGGUGGUACCGCGUAAAUGUAAAACGCCCUAUAA
rnacentral:ncRNA from 1 species